GAGGGUAUAGCUCAAUGGUAGAGCAUGUGCUCAGUAUGGUCCUGAGUUCAAUCCCCAGCACCUCCA
rnacentral:tRNA from 1 species